AGCCUGCUUAACUCAAUUGGCAGAGUAUUGGUCUUGUAAACCAAAGGUUAUCGGUUCAACUCCGAUAGCAGGCUA
rnacentral:tRNA from 2 species